GGUUUGAAUAUUAAAUGUUCAUAAAAUGUGUUUUGUUACCUGCUAAGGUGUAUGUUCAUAAAUUUAUAUGAUAUAAAUCAAAAGAAUUGAAUGUAGAAUUAGUAUUAGUAUACUGUAGUAAUAAUAUUAUAUCUAUAUAUACUAGUUAGUGAUCAGAAUGUUAUUAUAUGGUUGGCUAUGCAAAUAAAAGACAAAAUAAGCUUUUAAUAAAGUAUUGUACGAUUUUGCUAAUUGUUGUAGUACUUUUUUUCAAAUGAAUUGAUUUAUGGAAUGAAACUUGGAUAAAUGUUUAUGUCCAACAUAAGUGCCCUGCAUGUAUUUUUUAAAAAUAAAUUAUGUAUAUUAUCGGC
rnacentral:lncRNA from 1 species